rnacentral:rRNA from 1 species
ACGCACGCUGGCGGCGUGCUUAACACAUGCCAGUCGAACGGAAAGGCCCUGCUUUUGUGGGGUGCUCGAGUGGCGAACGGGCGAGUAACACGUGAGUAACCUGCCCUUGACUUUGGGAUAACUUCAGGAAACUGGGGCUAAUACCGGAUAGGAGCUCCUGCUGCAUGGUGGGGGUUGGAAAGUUUCGGCGGUUGGGGAUGGACUCGCGGCUUAUCAGCUUGUUGGUGGGGUAGUGGCUUACCAAGGCUUUGACGGGUAGCCGGCCUGAGAGGGUGACCGGCCACAUUGGGACUGAGAUACGGCCCAGACUCCUACGGGAGGCAGCAGUGGGGAAUAUUGCACAAUGGGCGGAAGCCUGAUGCAGCAACGCCGCGUGCGGGAUGACGGCCUUCGGGUUGUAAACCGCUUUCGCCUGUGACGAAGCGUGAGUGACGGUAAUGGGUAAAGAAGCACCGGCUAACUACGUG